ACCAUCAAGUAUCUUCCGUUAUCCCGGUAUUUUCUAAUCAAUAACCAACACCAGUUCAACAACUACAACUUCAACAACAACAACCACAACAACGAACAAACACCAACAACAACAACACUACCAACAAUCCUCAUCAAAACUUUGAGAGGAAGAAGGUCUCUUUCGACCCGAUUCAUAUGUCUUACGCAAAACUCUACCCGUCUUUGGUUCUCAAGAACCUGAUCCAACCGAGAAACC
rnacentral:lncRNA from 1 species